rnacentral:rRNA from 1 species
UACAGAGGGUGCGAGCGUUAAUCGGAAUUACUGGGCGUAAAGGGCGCGUAGGUGGCCUGUUAAGUCGAACGUGAAAUCCCCGAGCUCAACUCGGGAACUGCGUCCGAUACUGGCGGGCUUGAAUCCGGGAGAGGGAUGCGGAAUUCCAGGUGUAGCGGUGAAAUGCGUAGAUAUCUGGAGGAACACCGGUGGCGAAGGCGGCAUCCUGGACCGGCAUUGACGCUGAGGCGCGAAAGCUAGGGGAGCAAACGGG